AUUCAUUAUUACUCGUAGGCAUCGCCAUGAAGCUUUUCUUGGUUCUACUCCCUUUCUUUGCUAUGACUACAUCCGGAAUUCAUUGUGCCACCAACUGCUCGCUAGCCUGCAACAGAAUGUACUGGCCCCAUUGUGGUUUUGCCCAUGACUGUAAUUUGGAAGCAGACAAUGCGUGUAUUUUGGGCUAUGAGAUCUGCAGACGUGGGGAAACUAAUAUGCCACCAUUUGAAAGAACAGCCGCUAAAGAGUGUCCCACCAAUAAACCCAAAUGCCGACGUGUAGAUCCGUAAUGAGAAGAUGGUAUCUUUGGGAUUGGAAGUUGUAGAACAGAACCCCAUCGCAUCGAAAUAUUCAGUUGCAAAAAAUGUUUUUCUUUACCGAGCAUUCACAUUUGAAAAAAAGCAACCCAUGCAAAAGGAAAUAUUAUUUUUACUGCAUGAAAUUAAUUAUUAAUUUUGCGCCAUUUAACGACUCAAUUUUGAUCUAUAAAGCCCGCUUGCAUGACGCUGAAAAUAUUUAUAUUUUUGGAAUAUCCCAACUUUUAAGCAUACAUUAAGGUACUCGUCUGUAUUUGCUACCCAUAAAAUCCAUAAAUCGAAAAAAUAAAAAUUAUGGUCGAUAUAUUUGUGGGAAUAAUGUGGAACAUAAAUAGAAAUACGACUAUAGUCUCCUGAAUUUAUGUAUGCAGUUCACAUUUAUCAAAGGAGCUCAAACAUCUGCUUGAAGUGGGAAUACUCUCUGCAAGAGGCAUAUCCGGGGUUAUGCAAACUGAAUCUAAUUGCUUGCAAAAUGAUAAAUGUUGCGCCCAACAGUCUGGAUCAUUGUGUGGUGUUAAAAAAUAUUCAUUCUAUUGCAAUAUCCCAACUAAGAAUGGUCAUGAGCUAUGACCACGUCAGCCAGUAUUGACGAUGGCUGUAAGUCAUUCUGCCCUUUUGUCAUCAACCCAGUAUGUGCUUUUGAUGAAAAUGGUGUUGGUCAUGACUUAGCUAACAGUUGCAGGCUCGAAAUGGCUGAAUGCCAGCGUAAGAAUAUAAAAUUGCCACCAUUCAAAAAGGUUACCUUUACCCACUGUCCUACACGUAAGAGGUAAUAUGUAUUUGUUUUCAAUCAAAUAAAUAUUAUUAAGUACCCAUUAUGGUUCCAAUAUCUGUGGGGAAAUGCGA